UCCCCCAGACCUGAGCCAUGGGCUCGAAGAUGUCCACUCACAGUCAAGGGCACACAUGCCCAUGAACAGGGACCUGGGGUUCCUCGAGCUUCAACCAACGGUCAUUGCAGUGAAUUUCGCUCUCUGCGAGGGCCGGAGCAUCUCCAUACACAUAAUUGGUCUCGUCUGGUGAGGCGAGGGCUUCCGUCAAUCCACUUCACCUGGGAAGACUGGAAGACUGGCAUGACUUCAACAGGGAUUGACGGCGCUCGGAGCCUGCCAGGCUGAUUAGGCAAGCCCCAAGCUGCAACCGAUCUGACUAUUCCUAAUGACACUACAGUCUGCGGCCUUCAAUUUGUUUGAGACCGAAAGCUUCCCAUGCCAGAGAGGAGGAGAGGCACCCUGGGGGGACCUCACUUUCUGUCAUCUUUCCCUAGGGCCGGACUUGAAUCCUGUCUCCUUGCCUUCCUAACGGGCUUCUUCUCCGUAACCGUCACUCUAACGGUCAUUACUUUUCCACAUGGACAAGAGGCAGGAUGUGCAGUUGUCUCGGGGAGGGGGCAACUUGAUGUUUUAUUGCAAAAAUAAAUAAAAUGAUUCUAUGAUGUUUGCUAACUGGGCUAUUAAAGAGGCUACUAAACGAGUCUUCGUCAGUGCCCAAGAAAAGCGUUUUUUUCAAUUGUUACGAUCUUUGCUAUCUUUCAACGCUUUUCACCUCACAACCACUCUGCCUGACUGAGCUUUGCGGUCACAGAGCAGCACUGCAAGCGAUGUUGCUAGGCAGCUCCUGGAGCACUGGCAAUCAAUCGCUUAAAAAAAAAAGGGGUUGAUAAUUUAACUGUGUUAUUUUGAAGACGGACACAAAUUCAUUAAGAUAAGAAGAUCUUCCCCAUGUCGUUUGACCUAAAUCUGGAUUCGAACAUCCGGCCUUCCUUCGUUGCAAGCCUCGCAUUGGCUGUCCCAGGGGCGAGGUGAGCUGACUUUCAAGAAAGCAGCAGGGAAGGCUCCCCUGAAGAAAAGAUAAAACCUAGGAAACAGGAGACCUAGGAGCGGAGGGGGAAUUUGGUGAACCUAGGCCUGAUAAUGCUAUAUUCAAAGGCCGGGUCCUGCUGAACACUGACAUGCUGUGCAUGCAGAAGAGAUCACUUGACUCCCCAUCUGG